ensembl:lncRNA
UCACAGUCUCAGGUACAGGCUUCCCUGCCUCUACCCUCCCAGUCUCAGACCAUGGUGCUGAUAACACCAUUACACAGCAAACAUGACCUGACACGUCAACAUGAAGAGUAUGCAGAAGUGGAGGCCCACAGUGAAGGCCUGCUGGCAGACAGUGAUAUAGUGUUUGCCAAGGAGACGGUGCCAUCCCAGAGGCUAGAGCCAGGUGGAGGUCACAGCCAGCACCAGGGCCAAUCGAUCACUACCAGCCACAGCCAGGGGCACCACGCCCGGGGGCACCAGGGGCACCAAGCCCGGGGACACCAAGCCCAAGAGCAGGGCCAGGUCUCCACCAUCACCAACAUCUCCCUGGAGGAGCAGAAAGUGCUGCUGUCCCUGAAUCGACUCAAUCGUCGGCUGCAAUAUGUGCAGGCCUCAGCUGGAGGCAGCCCUGCAGAUAAAGCUUUCCUAUGUGGUGAAGCGCCCUUUACAGAGGAAGGGACGGGUGCUGCCCACCGUAAACACCGCACGGUCUCCACCGACAACCGCCCGAGAACCCAGAGGAGAUUCUGACACAACGGUCCAAUAUGGCCGCCUGAAUGUCACUCUGUCAGCUUGUGCUUCACUCCAACCUUAUACACUGCUGCAAAAAUAUCUUUAUAAUAACCCUCCCCGAGUUUCAGCACCACCACUAACUCUCUCUGCUGGGAUGAAGACUUCACAACCCAGGACUGUGAAUAAGUCCAUUAUCAAAUGACAGUACUUAUAUUGACUUAUUUACACAUUAUAGCUUCAGUCUUAUAUACAGCCAGGCUUUGCUAUUUGGUUUUGGCCUUUAAUUGAUAGAGAUUAUUUUUGUAUUGAAUAAAUAUAUUUAUUUUCCUGAAAAAUUGUGCGGUGUGUGUAUAUAUUGUACACAAUGAUUGUACACAAUGUAUUGUGUAUCGUAUUGGUACCAUUGUAUUGUACACAAUGAUACCAAUAGGAUUGUAUACUGAUGUGUGUCAGUGUGUAAACUAAUCUUGAUAAUGAUGAAGCAAAAUAAAGUCAUUCUGUCC